rnacentral:rRNA from 1 species
UACGGAGGGGGCUAGCGUUGUUCGGAAUUACUGGGCGUAAAGCGCACGUAGGCGGCCUUGUAAGUUAGAGGUGAAAGCCCGGGGCUCAACUCCGGAAUUGCCUUUAAGACUGCAUCGCUAGAAUUGUGGAGAGGUAAGUGGAAUUCAGAGUGUAGAGGUGAAAUUCGUAGAUAUUCGGAAGAACACCAGUGGCGAAGGCGACUUACUGGACACAUAUUGACGCUGAGGUGCGAAAGCGUGGGGAGCAAACAGG